rnacentral:rRNA from 1 species
GGGGAAUAUUGCGCAAUGGGCGAAAGCCUGACGCAGCGACGCCGCGUGAGGGAUGACGGCCUUCGGGUUGUAAACCUCUUUCAGUACCGACGAAGCGCUUGUGACGGUAGGUACAGAAGAAGCGCCGGCUAACUACGUGCCAGCAGCCGCGGUAAGACGUAGGGCGCGAGCGUUGUCCGGAUUUAUUGGGCGUAAAGAGCUCGUAGGCGGCUUGUCACGUCUGUCGUGAAAGACCAGGGCUUAACUCUGGUUUUGCGGUGGAUACGGGCAGGCUUGAGGCAAGUAGGGGAGAACGGAAUUCCAUGUGUAGCGGUGAAAUGCGCAGAUAUGUGGAGGAACACCGGUGGCGAAGGCGGUUCUCUGGGCUUGUUCUGACGCUGAGGAGCGAAAGCAUGGGGAGCGAAC